rnacentral:rRNA from 1 species
GACAGAGGGUGCAAACGUUGUUCGGAAUUACUGGGCGUAAAGCGCGUGUAGGCGGCUAUGCAAGUCGGGCGUGAAAUCCCACGGCUCAACCGUGGAAGUGCACUCGAAACUGCGUAGCUAGAGUCUCGGAGAGGAAGGUGGAAUACUUGGUGUAGAGGUGAAAUUCGUAGAUAUCAAGCGGAACACCGGUGGCGAAGGCGGACCUUCUGGACAGUGACUGACGCUGAGACGCGAAAGCGUGGGGAGCAAACAGG